rnacentral:rRNA from 1 species
GCCUACGGGGGGCAGCAGUGGGGGAUAUUGCACAAUGGGGGGAACCCUGAUGCAGCGACGCCGCGUGAGUGAAGAAGUAUUUCGGUAUGUAAAGCUCUAUCAGCAGGGAAGAAGAAAGACGGUACCUGAGUAAGAAGCCCCGGCUAACUACGUGCCAGCAGCCGCGGUAAUACGUAGGGGGCAAGCGUUAUCCGGAUUUACUGGGUGUAAAGGGAGCGUAGACGGUAUGGCAAGUUUGAUGUGAAAACCCGGGGCUCAACCCCGGGACUGCAUUGGAAACUGCCGAACUAGAGUGUCGGAGAGGG